AUUAGUCAAAGGUUUACUGGUGUAUAAAAUGGGGGAGAAGAAUCUCAGGCUUUUAUAUGGGGCAUGACGGGAGGGAAAGGAGCACGGAAGCAAGAGGAAGGCAAGGAAGACCAAAAGAAGUUUGGCAAUGGCAUCUUAAAGCAGAAACUGAAACAGAUGAUGAUGCGCUCACGGAAGAAAAACCCUCGCCUUUCACAAGACAGCCACAAAUUCUGUGACAUUCUGCUCUGAUGGAUACCUGUAGGCAAGAAUUACAAUUUUUUGGCACUAGUCUAUAUAAGGUAAUGCUACAAAUUGAUCAUUUGUGCACUUGUUACUUGAUCCAUGACUACAAAUGACUAAUUGUUUACAUUGAAUGAACAUAGUGCUGUCUGGUCCGAACAUGCAGGUCUAUCAUAUCUGCCAGACUCUAAGGGGGUUUACACUGUGAGCGGUGAGGGUUUGGUACAUGUUUCCGCACUACCUGGAGUCUCGGCCCCUCUGGACGUGUGGGGUCCCAAAAUGCACCUUGUCCGAGUCUGAUGGGCAAGACGAGAGAAGGGGGGAGGAUGGGAGAGGAAGGGGCAUUUGAUGUUCCUCACUGGGGGAUGUAGAGGCAGAGGAGGUGACGGAUGAACCCUGGGAGGGGACAGCUCCCAAAGAUCUGACGGAGGCCCAUGAAGACAGACAACAGGGGCCAGAAUCUGGAGAUACAGGAGCUGAGGACACUGGCGCUCUGCGGAUGACCUUGGUGCCAGAACAGCCCCUGGUGCUCUCCUGUGCCUCUGAAUCAGCAGUGCUGGGGAUGAGGUUGACCAUGCAUUUAAAGGGCAAACACAAGCUAGAAGCCUCCUCUUUCGCUAUAGUUGGCGCCAUCCAGCUAUAAGAUGACAGAACAGCUCAGCAGAGGGUUGGGCAAAAGGAUGUGGCACCAUGAUAAAAUGUGUUAGGGCAAUCACCGGAUGUUAGUGAGCCUAACAGCACAAUUCUACAUUCUAGCUGCCAUUUCUAGUGCAUUCAAUUCUGAGAACCUAUUCCUGAGUACCUGGCAGAUCCCUGAACAGAGAGUUCUGCUUUCUGCGGUUCCUCAACUUCCUCUUCCUCCUCCUCUCUGUGGUGAAAAGGAGGAAUUGAGGGAUGGAUGAUAGAAGUGAAAACAGAAGAGAGGGCAGGGGGAGGAGAAGAAGAAAUGUUGCACAUAGAUAACAUGACAGCAGACACUACAAAAUGCACUGACGGCAGACAAAACAAAAGAAACAGUGGCACAAACAAGAGAGACACAAGAUUUGGUCCAGGUCUGUGCCCUUUCUGCUGAGGUGCCUCUGGGAGAUGGCUUCAAUGCCCUGCUCCUCCAGAAAGUCCACCACGUCAUAGAACGAGUCCUGGUCUGCAAGGCCUGCAAGUGUCUGUAAAGAUAAAUAAAAGAACUCAGUUUUCCACAGUAAGUCUUAUGCACGGCUCAUUCAGAGCAGUCAGAACUCAUGUGCCUACCUUAUUAAUGAGGGUCAUAACAUAGACCAGCAACUCAGUGUCCACACCAUCCUUCUCGUCCAAGAUUUCCAUGGCGUUGGACCACGGCUUACAACCUGCAGACAGAUUUACAUCAAACACAGCAAGGCCAAGUACACAGUGAUGAUUGCAUGUGUUAAAACCAUUCAGCCCUACAAUUAUUGGCAGAAAUGACUGUAUAAUAUUAAUA